GCUAGGCACGGGUGGUGCUGAAGGCAAAAAGGAGGUUACCAAGGGUGCUGAAGGAAAAAAUGCAAGUGUGCAUUUUUUAUUAUUAUUUGGAGAAAUAAUAAUAAUAAUAAUAGCUUUUUUUUUGUUUUUUUUUUGUUUUUUUGUUUUUUUUUGUUUGGGUACCUUGUGGUUGUGGCCCGAUGUUUCGGCAAGUGGGAUAGGCUGGGCCACGUGGAGCUGGGCCUGGUCUUGGCUUCGGCAAUGGGAGAGACCCGUGAGCACAUCACUUUGCCUGAGCGAAUCCUUUGUCGUUCGGCAAGGGUACCAUGCAUUAGUUGGCUUGGAAUAUAGCAAGAGGCUGGGACCAUGGUGGCCAAAGUUUGGGUUUUGGCAAGGAGGCUAGGCCGCUUGAACUUGCGUGAGCCUAGGUGUGGAGAGUUGAGGCAAGUAGUGAGGGCUUGGCAGGUGGGCCAUGUACAUGACCAUUGCCGUUCGGCAAAGGGGGCCAAGACUGCGCAAGUUGGGCUACGUUAAGAUAUUUUGGUAAAAAAGGCUAGGCCUUCGGCAAGCUUGACUUGGAACCAUAUUUUUUGUGACCCUCCCCUCAAUUCUCACAUGGCCCUUGCCGUUCGGCAAGGGUAGGCUUGGUAAAAAUUCUUCAGCUCGUGGGUCUUUUGGCAAGGUUGGCCUUCGAAGCCCUUGAAGGGAUUUUGUGAGUUGGACGAGGCUUUGGCAGCACGUCGGGGGUUCGGCAAGGUUCUGGAUCUUUGGUUCUGGCAUUCGGAGCCUAUGGAUUUG
rnacentral:lncRNA from 1 species